rnacentral:rRNA from 1 species
CCUACGGGAGGCAGCAGUGAGGAAUAUUGGUCAAUGGGCGGGAGCCUGAACCAGCCAAGUCGCGUGAGGGAAGACGGUCCUAUGGAUUGUAAACCUCUUUAGGCGGGGAGCAAGGCCGGGCACGUGUGCCCGGAGGGAGAGUACCCGCAGAAGAAGCAGCGGCGAACUCCGUGCCAGCAGCCGCGGUAAUACGGAGGAUGCGAGCGUUAUCCGGAUUUAUGGGGUUGAAAGGGUGCGUAGGCGGAUUUUUAAGUCAGCGGUAAAAUGUCCGGGCUCAACCCGGGCCGGCCGUUGAAACUGGGGAUCUUGCUUGGGCGAGAAGUAUGCGGCAUGCGUGGUGUAGCGGUGACAUGCCUAGAUAUCACGCAGAACUCCGAUUGCGCAGGCAGCAUACCGGCGCCCGCCUGCCGCUGCGGCAC